UACGUAGGGGGCAAGCGUUGUCCGGAUUUAUUGGGCGUAAAGAGCGUGUAGGCGGCCUGGCAGGUCCGUUGUGAAAACCCGGGGCUCAACCCCGGGCCUGCAUCCGAAACUUCCGGGCUGGAGGUAGGUAGGGGAGAUCGGAAUUCCUGGUGUAGCGGUGAAAUGCGCAGAUAUCAGGAGGAACACCGGUGGCGAAGGCGGGUCUCUGGGCAGUAACUGACGCUGAGGAGCGAAAGCGUGGGGAGCGAACAGG
rnacentral:rRNA from 1 species